GAUGAACGCUGGCGGCGUGCCUAAUACAUGCAAGUCGAGCGAACGGACGAGAAGCUUGCUUUUCUGAUGUUAGCGGCGGACGGGUGAGUAACACGUGGAUAACCUACCUAUAAGACGGGGAUAACUUCGGGAAACCGGAUCUAAUACCGGAUAAUAUUUUGAACCGCAUGGUUCAAAAGUGAAAGACGGUCUUGCGGUCACUUAUAGAUGGAUCCGCGCUGCAUUAGCUAGUUGGUAAGGUAACGGCUUACCAAGGCAACGAUGCAUAGCCGACCUGAGAGGGUGAUCGGCCACACUGGAACUGAGACACGGUCCAGACUCCUACGGGAGGCAGCAGUAGGGAAUCUUCCGCAAUGGGCGAAAGCCUGGCGGAGCAACGCCGCGUGAGUGAUGAAGGUCUUCGGAUCGUAAAACUCUGUUAUUAGGGAAGAACAUAUGUGUAAGUAACUGUGCACAUCUUGACGGUACCUAAUCAGAAAGCCACGGCUAACUACGUG
rnacentral:rRNA from 1 species